GGAGGGUGCGAGCGUUGUCCGGAAUCACUGGGCGUAAAGGGCGCGUAGGCGGCCUGAUAAGUAGGGGGUGAAAUCCUGCGGCUUAACCGCAGGGCUGCCUUCUAAACUGUCAGGCUAGAGCACGGUAGAGGCAGAUGGAAUUCCCGGUGUAGCGGUGGAAUGCGUAGAGAUCGGGAAGAACAUCAGUGGCGAAGGCGGUCUGCUGGGCCGUUGCUGACGCUGAGGCGCGACAGCGUGGGGAGCAAACAGGAUUAGAUACCCUGGUAGUCCACGCCGUAAACGAUGGGCACUAGGCGUCGGGGGGAGCGACCCUCCCGGUGCCGUCGCUAACGCAGUAAGUGCCCCGCCUGGGGGGUACGGCCGCAAGGCUG
rnacentral:rRNA from 1 species